rnacentral:rRNA from 1 species
AUUGAACGCUGGCGGUAUGCUUAACACAUGCAAGUCGAACGGAAACGAUACUAGCUUGCUAGUAGGCGUCGAGUGGCGGACGGGUGAGUAACGCGUAGGAAUCUGCCUGAUAGUGGGGGAUAGCCCGGAGAAAUUCGGAUUAAUACCGCAUAAUCUAUUCGUAGUAAAGUGGGGGACUUUCGAGCCUCACGCUAUCAGAUGAGCCUGCGUAAGAUUAGCUUGUUGGUAGGGUAAAAGCCUACCAAGGCGACGAUCUUUAGCUGGUCUGAGAGGAUGAUCAGCCACAUCGGGACUGAGACACGGCCCGAACUCCUACGGGAGGCAGCAGUGGGGAAUAUUGGACAAUGGGGGCAACCCUGAUCCAGCAAUACCGCGUGUGUGAAGAAGGCCUGAGGGUUGUAAAGCACUUUCAAUUGUGAAGAAAAGUUAACGGUUAAUAACCGUUAGCCUUGACGUUAACUUUAGAAGAAGCACCGGCUAACUCCGUGCCAGCAGCCGCGGUAAUACGGAGGGUGCAAGCGUUAAUCGGAAUUACUGGGCGUAAAGCGUGCGUAGGCGGUUUAUUAAGUCAGAUGUGAAAGCCCCGGGCUUAACCUGGGAACUGCAUUUGAAACUGGUAAACUAGAGUAUGGUAGAGGAAAGUGGAAUUUCUGGUGUAGCGGUGAAAUGCGUAGAUAUCAGAAGGAACAUCAAUGGCGAAGGCAGCUUUCUGGACCAAUACUGACGCUGAGUACGA